AGAGUUUGAUCAUGGCUCAGAUUGAACGCUGGCGGCAUGCCUUACACAUGCAAGUCGAACGGUAACGGGUCCUUCGGGAUGCCGACGAGUGGCGAACGGGUGAGUAAUAUAUCGGAACGUGCCCAGUAGUGGGGGAUAACUGCUCGAAAGAGCAGCUAAUACCGCAUACGACCUGAGGGUGAAAGGGGGGGAUCGCAAGACCUCUCGCUAUUGGGGCGGCCGAUAUCAGAUUAGCUAGUUGGUGGGGUAAAGGCCUACCAAGGCAACGAUCUGUAGUUGGUCUGAGAGGACGACCAGCCACACUGGGACUGAGACACGGCCCAGACUCCUACGGGAGGCAGCAGUGGGGAAUUUUGGACAAUGGGCGCAAGCCUGAUCCAGCAAUGCCGCGUGCAGGAAGAAGGCCUUCGGGUUGUAAACUGCUUUUGUCAGGGAAGAAAUCUUCUGGGCUAAUACCCCGGGAGGAUGACGGUACCUGAAGAAUAAGCACCGGCUAGCUACGUGCCAGCAGCCGCGGUAAUACGUAGGGUGCGAGCGUUAAUCGGAAUUACUGGGCGUAAAGCGUGCGCAGGCGGCUUUGCAAGACAGAUGUGAAAUCCCCGGGCUCAACCUGGGAACUGCAUUUGUGACUGCAAGGCUAGAGUACGGCAGAGGGGGAUGGAAUUCCGCGUGUAGCAGUGAAAUGCGUAGAUAUGCGGAGGAACACCAAUGGCGAAGGCAAUCCCCUGGGCCUGUACUGACGCUCAUGCACGAAAGCGUGGGGAACAAACAGGAUUAGAUACCCUGGUAGUCCACGCCCUAAACGAUGUCAACUGGUUGUUGGACGGCUUGCUGUUCAGUAACGAAGCUAACGCGUGAAGUUGACCGCCUGGGGAGUACGGCCGCAAGGUUGAAACUCAAAUGAAUUGACGG
rnacentral:rRNA from 1 species